CAGGGAGACAACAAAAUGUUAAAUAUUAAUUUUGUCACCUUAGGUCGAUCGGUAUCUCAGAUUCUUAAAUUAUUUUAAGGAUUUCAUUUCCUAAGUUUUUUCUAGGUCACACCCAUUACUUUUCCUGGGCCAUUAGCUCAGGUGGUUAGAGCGCACCCCUGAUAAGGGUGAGGUCCCUGGUUCAAGUCCAGGAUGGCCCAUAUCUCUAUGUUGGGGGUAUAGCUCAGUUGGUAGAGCGCCUGCUUUGCAAGCAGGAUGUCAGCGGUUCGAGUCCGCUUACCUCCACUGAUUACCACCUCUUCCAUAAAUUUAAAGAAGGGAAUUGUUAUUAGAUGUGAUUUAUUUCUGAACGAAUCUAGCUUCCUAAUAAAUAUAUUAAGAUGCUGGACUCAUUGAAUCUUAUUCAUUGUUUUCAGAGAACCUUGACAACUGCAUAGAUUAUUUUUAAAGACAAUAAGCAUCUUUAAUGAUGCAGAUUUAUUAUUUGUGCUAAUGCAUUAAUAACAAUUCUAUUGAGCUGAUGCUUCAAUUUUUUGAAGUUAUU
rnacentral:tRNA from 1 species